CCACCGCCCAACUCGAGAUUAGCCUCAUUCCCACUCACCUCUCGAUUGGAGCCUAGAGCAGUUCUCCACCCAGAUCCCGUCUCUCACCCGUUGUGGCAGCGACCGACAGCACUCGGCAAGUAACGGUGCUAGCAAAGUACGGCGACUGGUGGUGGCAGAAAACGGCGAGUGGCUACGCAUGCUGUUGUGGGAGCGGCGGCAGCAUGGGCUGAUGGGCGAGCGGGGGUGUAAAGGAGGCGAGAGAUCCACAUCUCUAGCUGAACAGCCGCUCGAGGAAAGGUCUUCUCCCUACCCAGCCAGAAGUUUGAUCCUUCCGAUCGAAGAGGUACCGUAUCAGUUUCCAUUUGCAAGACGUAUGGUUGGAAAAGGAUUGAAGUACUGGUGUAACACUAAUAAUUCUUACUAAGAUGUGAUUUCUAUGUCAAUGUGUAGAUGAUUCCUGAACAAGUAAGUUUGUUCCUUUUAGCUCAAUUAAAUGUCAGCUGCAUUAUAUCAUUUUUCAUCUCUCUUAUAACAAGUCUUAUAGUUUCUUAGGUAUUGGUAAGUCAUAUUGGAGAUAAAAUGAGUUGUGAUAAUGCUAUGAUACUAAUGAUGACAAUGCUACCUAUGGCAACGUGGGAGAUUAUAUAUAUGGCGAUGGGCAUUACGAUCAAGACGACGAUAAUGGUGAUGAGUCUGAUGAUCUUCGAGUCAUGCAACCAAGUGAAGUUAUGAAGUUCAUGGACAAUUUAGCUUAUGCACAUUGUUUGGACCAUUAUAUCUUAGUCACUAUUUUGUUUUUCAUUUGACACUUCUUAGAUGCGUCAGUAUGGCCAAUGUAAUAUUGAUUCAACUCAUUAGACAUGUUAUACUUCUUGUUGUUAUGCUAAAUAAAA